AUAGAAUAGAGAGCUGAACAGGGCCAUAAUUAAUGCAUCUGGAAUUUUCUUCAUUUACAUGAAUGAGAAAUUAGAUCUCUUAAAAUAUGAUUGUUUAUGUGCUGUUCAUGUUUUAAAUAAAAGUUUGUUUUCAUUUCUGCAGAUGACAAGGUCAAGACAGAACAAGAAUUGCCUUCAUUUAUUUAUGGAAGAGAUUUUAAAUGCCAGAAUUUUCACUACAAAGAUAAUCAGUAUUUUCAUGUUCAUGGAGGAAUUAAAUUUGAUAUCAGCACUGCUUCAAUUGAAAAUGCUUUGGAAGAUUUUCAGAAAAAUUUAGAAAAGAUAUGAGAUUGUGCUGCUAAUACAUUUAUAGAAGAUUCAGGAUACAAAGAAUAUUACUCAAUUCCAGUCAUGAAAUUUUAUGGAAAAAGGUAAGGAGUUUUCACUAAUUACUGACACUAGCUACAAUUUGUUGAAAGUUUGUAGUGAACAAAGAAAAUAACAAAAUGCAAAGGUUAAUUUAAAUUUUUACAGUGGUGAGGGAGGACUCAAGAUGGCGCUGUGAGAACAACCCAGGAUUGAGGCUCUCGCUGGAUGCGUGGAGAGGGUGAGUCGGGGACGCAUUUCCAGACAGACCUUUGUUGCCCACAGAACAGGGAAAUUCCCAGAUAUAAAACAAACGUGGGACGCCAGCCAGAGAUCUUGACUGGUGUAGCCAGCAGCCAGUGCGGCUGUGGACCGCGCCGGAACGCAGAGGUGCUCCACAGAGUUCUGCACAAAAGCGCACUGUUCCGGGUGCCCCGUUGAACUGGCAACCUGAGACCUGAGAGGGCUGAACUUGAGACUGAACGGGACUUGAACAGUGAGCCAGCCCAGGACAAAGGGUUAGGGGUAGCGCACUGCGACAAACAAAAUGGCGAUUCCAAACGCUCGCUGUUAGGAGGUUCCCUUAAAGCGCAGCUCCGUGCGGGAGGGGAGUCCGCCAUUACCGAGGCAAUCAGCCCCUACUGAGGUACACGCCCAUUGCUGACGCAGCCGGCCAUUGCCGAGGCAACCCGGUACAACAGAGAGACACUGCCGCAGGGCGGAGCCCACGGCUGCAGGGCGGAGACCGCAGGAGAAGGGCAAAGACUGCAGAAGCAGGGCGAACCUCACACCAGCAUGGCGGAGCCUCGGCAGGAAAAAACUGCCUCCUAGCUGGGCAGGACAACCCAGCGGACAAUCAAAAAUAAAGCCCCAACCCCUUCAGAAAGAGCA
rnacentral:lncRNA from 13 species